rnacentral:rRNA from 1 species
CACGUAGGGGGCAAGCGUUGUCCGGAUUUAUUGGGCGUAAAGAGCUCGUAGGUGGUUCGGUAAGUCAGGUGUGAAACCUCCAGGCUCAACCUGGAGACGCCACUUGAUACUGCUGUGACUGGAGUCCGGUAGGGGAGCGUGGAAUUCCUGGUGUAGCGGUGAAAUGCGCAGAUAUCGAGAGGAACACCAGUGGCGAAGGCGAGUCUCUGGACAUUUCCUGACGCUGAGGCAUGAAAGCCAGGGGAGCAAACGGG